rnacentral:rRNA from 1 species
CAGUAGCCGCGGUAAUACGUAGGGUGCAAGCGUUACUCGGAAUUACUGGACGUAAAGCGUGCGUAGGUGGUGGUUUAAGUCCGUUGUGAAAGCCCUGGGCUCAACCUGGGAAUUGCAGUGGAUACUGGGUCACUAGAGUAUGGUAGAGGAUAGUGGAAUUUCCGGUGUAGCAGUGAAAUGCGUAGAGAUCGGAAGGAACAUCUGUGGCGAAGGCGACUAUCUGGGCCAACACUGACACUGAGAGACGGGAGCUAGGGGAGCAAAUGGGAUUAGAUACCCGUGUAGUCCCUGUCUCUUAUAC